rnacentral:rRNA from 1 species
UAGGGAAUCUUCGGCAAUGGACGAAAGUCUGACCGAGCAACGCCGCGUGAGUGAAGAAGGUUUUCGGAUCGUAAAACUCUGUUGUUAGAGAAGAACAAGGACGUUAGUAACUGAACGUCCCCUGACGGUAUCUAACCAGAAAGCCACGGCUAACUACGUGCCAGCAGCCGCGGUAAUACGUAGGUGGCAAGCGUUGUCCGGACUUAUUGGGCGUAAAGCGAGCGCAGGCGGUUUCUUAAGUCUGGUGUGAAAGCCCCCGGCUCAACCGGGGAGGGUCAUUGGAAACUGGGGGACUUGAGUGCAGAAGAGGAGAGUGGAAUUCCAUGUGUAGCGGUGAAAUGCGUAGAUAUAUGGGGGAACACCAGUGGCGAAGGCGGCUCUCUGGUCUGUAACUAACGCUGAGGCUCGAAAGCGUGGGGAGCAAACAGG